UCUAAACGACUCUCGGCAACGGAUAUCUCGGCUCUCGCAUCGAUGAAGAACGUAGCGAAAUGCGAUACUUGGUGUGAAUUGCAGAAUCUCGUGAACCAUCGAGUCUUUGAACGCAAGUUGCGCCCGAAGCCAUUAGGUUGAGGGCACGCCUGCCUGGGCGUCAC
rnacentral:rRNA from 13 species